AUCCCGUGGUCGGCUUAGGCCUGGCCCCGCCAGCGGGCCCGGAACCGAAGCGGACCCAAGACCCGCCGUGGUCGAACCCUCUGUUCAUGAGCACCCCUACGUUUCCUCGGCAGGUCCGCCUGCCAGGACCCAAAACAGAAACCCUUUGCAGUAGUGUUCCAGUCGUCUGAUCUAGAAAACCCUUCAAAACUUUCAACAACGGAUCUCUUGGCUCUGGCAUCGAUGAAGAACGCAGCGAAAUGCGAUAAGUAGUGUGAAUUGCAGAAUUCAGUGAAUCAUCGAAUCUUUGAACGCACAUUGCGCCCAUUGGUAUUCCUUUGGGCAUGCCUGUUCGAGCGUCAUUUCAACCUUCAAGCGCAGCUUGGUGUUGGGCGCCUGCCCCCGGGGACCGCCGGGGGCUCGCCUCGAAAUCAUUGGCGGCGGAGUCGUCGGCCCAGAGCGCAGCAGAGACGCGCCUCCGGGACCCCGACGGCCGCGAGCCAGGAGCGUGACCCACGCGUCUUGACCUCGGAUCAGGCAGGGAUACCCGCUGAACUUAAGCAUAUCAAU
rnacentral:rRNA from 1 species